rnacentral:rRNA from 1 species
AGUGAACGCUGGCGGUAGGCCUAACACAUGCAAGUCGAACGGCAGCACAGUAAGAGCUUGCUCUUACGGGUGGCGAGUGGCGGGCGGGUGAGGAAUACAUCGGAAUCUACUUUUUCGUGGGGGAUAACGUAGGGAAACUUACGCUAAUACCGCAUACGACCUACGGGUGAAAGCAGGGGAUCUUCGGACCUUGUGCGAUUGAAUGAGCCGAUGUCGGAUUAGCUAGUUGGCGGGGUAAAGGCCCACCAAGGCGACGAUCCGUAGCUGGUCUGAGAGGAUGAUCAGCCACACUGGAACUGAGACACGGUCCAGACUCCUACGGGAGGCAGCAGUGGGGAAUAUUGGACAAUGGGCGCAAGCCUGAUCCAGCCAUACCGCGUGGGUGAAGAAGGCCUUCGGGUUGUAAAGCCCUUUUGUUGGGAAAGAAAAGCAGCAGGUUAAUACCCCGCUGUUCUGACGGUACCCAAAGAAUAAGCACCGGCUAACUUCGUG